UUUCCGUGGGUGAACCUGCGGAAGGAUCAUUACCGAGUGAGGGUCUCUCAGGCCCGCCCUCCCACCCUGUGUUUUUAUGACCUUAUUCCUUUGGGGGGUCCGCCUCAAUGGGAGGCCGCCGGAACAUGCCCGCUUUGGGCCCGUGCCCGCCGGUGGCCCCCUUAAAUGCUUAAUAAACCUGUCGUCGGAGUCUAGAUAUAAUAAAAAAAACUUUCAACAACGGAUCUCUUGGUUCUG
rnacentral:misc_RNA from 1 species